rnacentral:lncRNA from 1 species
UGUGAAGCCAUCCCUUCCUUCCGUCUUUAAAGGCAUCGCUGCCGGGCGGCUGUUAGCUGAAUCGAUCGCAAGGAAAGACAAAGGAGGAGAGUUCAGUCGACUUGGGAUCGAGUAGAAUCGCCGGCUUCUGCUGCUAUUGCGGUACUCUUCCUUCCUUGAAUGUCGUUUACUUCUCCAGGUGCAUAGCAUAGCUUUUUUUUUUUUUUUUGGGGGGGGACGGAGACCGACGAGAUUAAUUGUUGUUUCUGUUUUGAAGCUGACCAUUAUAUCCAAUCCCAAUCCAAUCGACGAUGGGCCUCUCUCGUCGGUUUCUGAACCUGAUCGUGGACAACCGCAUCCCUGGAGCCAAAUCGCUGCGCUGCAUCGACCUCACCCUCGCGCGCUACAAGUUGUUCAACACUACAACACCUGCUGCACUGACACUGAAUGGGAACGGAAACGGAUUGAAGAAAAGGAUGGAGAAGAUUUGUCUUCCCAGCCCAAUCUUCAACUUGGGAGCACCAGGCGAACGGAUACACAUGUUCCCUGCUUUGGAGCGCAGGGCUUUCUCUUUGGACCAGUCGGGGCGUGGCCUCCUUCUGGAGGCAGACACAUCCCGUCUGGUGGUGAUGCCAAAUCUCCACAAGCCCAAGUUGGAACCCAUUGCCCUCUACAUCCCCGGCGCUGAGAUAGAUCUGGAUGACCUUGAUGGCGGCGGUGGCGGUACUCUUUUUAUCAUGGAUAGAAUUGCGAAACCACAGGAGGCUGACUAUUUGUUCGAGGCUUUGGUGUACCGCAUGUUCUGUUCCAGCUACUUAUCAAAGUCCUGGGACUGCCAACUCCUCCCACCACCGCCGCCAUACGUCGUCAAAUGUGGCGUUGACUUUCUAAAGAUCAUCUCAUAUGGUUUGGUUAAAGGUGGCUCUGAGAUCUGCAUAUCCAUCGACGGGGUUGGUACUUAUUGCUUUGACACUGUGAAACACACUUGGAUUGAAGUGGGCAAGUGGAUGCUACCCUUCCAAGGCAAGUUUGAGUAUGUCCACGAGCUCAAGCUCUGGUUUGGCUUCACUCCCAACGAUGGCCACUUUGCUGUUGCUGACCUCUCUGCCAUGGACGAGUACCUGCAACCACAGAUACGCCACUGCUGGAACGAACUUGAUGAGUCACUCAUCCAAGGAUGGAAGCAGAUACGGGACCCUCAGCUUGUCAACCUGGGGUCUGCCAAGUUCUGCAUUGCAAGGUUCUUUCACACUGGUGACUUUGGCGAUGGAUUGAGUGGCCAGAAUGUUUCUGUCCUGACUGGUGUAGAGUUUACCCAUGCCAAUGUUGACCAUGAGAAUAUUGGAUUGAUCAAGCACAAAUCGAGAUGUCACAAGUCUAGCUGCGGUGAGGAGACCAUCACGGCAGUUUUCUGAUUAAUUUAAGGGCUGACUCCCCAUCCUUUGAAUAAUUUUCUGUCUCUCUCUUUAAGAGAACUUGUGUCUCGUCCUAAUUUUACUUUAGCAUAAUAAAAAUGAUACUUCCUCCGUUUCAUAAUGUAAGACUUUCUAGCAUUGUCCACAUUUAUAUAUAUGCUAAUGAAUCUAAGCACACAUAUAUGUUUAGAUUUAUUGACAUCUAUAUGAAUACAGGUAAUGCUAGAAAGUCUUACAUUAUGAAACAGAGGUUAUGAAACAGAGGUAGUACCUUCGUUGUCCGCAUGUUGUAAUUGUCUCCUGCACUUAAGUAACUGUACCAUUUACUACUACUAGUAACUACUAUAAACUUACUCUUAAUUUAUGUGUUGUCUACUGCAAUGGUAAAAUUCGUUUCAAAUGCUUUCUUGGUUUUGGUUGGAGCGGAAACCAAGAAGGAAUGGUAAUCUUGUGUGCUUCCUCUGUCCCAAAAUAAGUUAACCGUGCGGGACUUUUCCAGAGGAAGAGAGGAUGAUACGUGAUGCGGUGUAUAUUCCUUUUCUGAAAAAAGUCUAAGUUAUACUACGGUUAAUUUCAACUUUUUCAUAUUCUAUCUUGAUCUUAAAAAAUAUAUUUGGAAAUUAUCGUGACCUCAGUUUUCAUCUUCUUUCAUAGACUUUGAUUUUCUAAAGAAAAUUGGUUUCUUAAUUCUAAAGAUGCCAGUACGUCACUGUUCAUUUUGUAGUUAACUCUGGUACAUGUUUAUGUGAAAUUUUGAUUAUUCAGCAGUUGAAAGGAAUGGAGGAUUGCUUUGUGAUUUAUAAUCACCUGUGCUGCUACUUGUGCUGCAGUCAAUAGUCUGAUGGGAAAAAUGGAAUUGAACCACUGCAAGUGCAAGAUAUACUGAAAUCAAAUCAGUGGGUAAAGUCUGACAAGUUAUCUGCUGCACUGAAAUCUCCUCAUGCGUUUGUGAGCAAGGUAUCCAGUAGCAUUAUUAUCUCUGUAUAUUUUCAGAGUAUAUAUUAGUUGCAACAGAUAGUCGUCACAUAUAUAAUCUAUAGAUGGCCAUAAGGCUCGCCCGGCACGGCCCGGCCUAGGAUCGGGCUAGGCACGGCCCACCAGCGAUCGGGCUGGAACGGCUCAGUCGGCACUUCGUGUUGGGCCGUGCUGGCCCAUGGGCUGCACCUCCGGCCUAGGCAUGGCCUACUAGCAAUCGGGCCAUGCAGUGCUAGCCUGAAGGCACGGGUGGUCCAUCGUGCCUUCUUUGAAAUAAGUCUAUUUCUCCUCUCUCCUCUUUGGGCUGUGACAUAUAUGUAGCUAAAAUAAGUCUAUUUUAUGUCCCUAUUCUUUGGGCCUUGUUAUAUAAUACGUCUAUUUUUGCUCCCUCGUGCCCUACAUAUGGUUGAAAUUAAGUCUGUUAUGCAUCCCCACACUCUCGUACAGGGCCUAGUCGUGCUGGGCCGGCCCAGUGUGUCGGUGGGGAAGCCCAGGCACGGCUCGGCGGUAAGGCCGUGCCGUGCUUGGGCUAGGCCAAAAUGCCGUGCCUUGGGCCGGGCCAUCGAGCCUCGGGUCUAUGGCUAUCUAUAAUAGGAAAAAGUACACCGAAGGUCCCUCAACUUGUCAUCGACUUACAAAAUCGUCCUCCAAUUGCAAAACCAGAUAUAUGACAUCCCUCAACUUACAAAACUGUUCACUUUAGGUCCUUCCGUGGUUUUAACCCCGGUUUUGUCCGAUGGGACAGCUGAGUCAGCGUGGGACCUAUGUGGGCUCCACAUGUCAGGGUGUCCAACUCAGCACCUUCUCUCUUUCCCCUCUUCUCUACCUUUCUCCUUCACUUUCCUUUCCUCUCUCGUGUCUCCGACGAGCAAUCCGGCGAGGUGUGCCAUGAACUCGGUGUUGGUAACGCACGCAGCGAGGUGCGGCGGUGUCCGCCGGGAGAAUGCCGGGAUUGUGCCGACAAGGGUCGGGUUCAGGCAGACGCAUCGCGGCGGCUGCAACGGCGGCGGCAGGAGGGACGACUUGAGCGCAGCUGGAGUCGCUGGAUAGGUUCAAUUGGGCGGGGUAUAGAGCCGUCGUCGACAUGGCCCGCGACGAGGGGCUCAGCCUCCGCGUCACGCUCCACUCUGGCGACCCCGACAUCCUCUUCACCGACUGCUCCAGCGGCCGUGACUGCCACUUCUUCGCCGUCGACGAGCUCCCCGUUAUCCACGGCAAGGCGCCGCUCGACUGCUACGACGCCUUCUUCCUGUUAACGAUGAAAUUUGGUAAGUCCAAAGUCAUCAUCAGCUGAAAGUCACUAUCGGCUUCCGAGUUCUAGAAGCAGCCGAUGGGAGUUGUCAAGUCGCCAUGCUAUCAUGUUCUUAGUGGAGUCGAAUCAAUUGAAGGAAGCUUAUCUAGAAGAGUCCGAUUUCAAGAAGGAUGCGGCGUGGCAGUUUAUCUAUUAAUUAGGAAUAGUUUGUUAGUUUCCUUUUAUCUUUAGGAAAGUGUGUUUAGUGUCCGAUAAGUACUUUAUGUUUUCCUUUUAUCUUUAGGAAAGUUUCUUUCUUGUCCGACAAGGACUUGUAUCAACCCAUGGGUAUAAAUAUGUACACCCAGGGUCUAUGCAAUCAAUCUCUCGAUCAAUACAACUACUCUCGGCGCAUCGCUACCCUAUUUACCGAGGUUUUACUUAUCUUCCGGCGGAAUUUGGGCACCUGACGCGGGGCUGCAUCGGCUUUCGAUCUCCGGCGAAGGGGUAAGUCCUACGUUCCGUCGGACCCUGGUGAAUCUGUCAUCUACGUCGGCGUCGCUCAAGGCUACAUCGCUUCGAUCUCUUGGAUCACUCUGGUUUGGUUGAUUGAUUUGCCUACCUGAUAUCUCAAUUCUAUCUCUAAUUGCAUUGUGUUUAGAGACGCAUCGGUUUAGUUGGAACUGUCUCGGUUAGGUCUGAUCUUCUAUCUUAGCCGAUAUAUCUCUACAAUCGCAAUGCUGUUCUAAAUAGAUUUGUUAUAUCCAUCACAUUAGACAGAUCUAUCGGCUUAUCGAGUAUUAGAUUAUCAUAUACAAUCUCGUGCUGCAUCGGUUAGGUUCGACCUACUAGAUUGUUGUUGAUAAUAUAAGUCUUGCUAAGCUGAUAGGUUCAUGCUAAUGUUUUAUCGGAGUGUUAGCCGAUAAGUUAUCUGGACGUUGCAUCGGCUUAGAAGGAUUACAUAUACAUAUUAGUUGGAUUUAGCCGAUGACAACAAAGGUUUCACUGUUUAAUCUAAUCUGUGGAUUUUAUGGCAUCGGACCUCCAGCCGAUGUAUAUUUUAAACUUCGGAUCAGUGCUUAUUCUAUCAUAUCAUUGCUAGCCGAUUGUUUUCUAUUGGAUUACGUUAUUGUUAUAUUAUAUUAUUGACAGCCGAUUGCCUUUAUAUCAUUAUCUACAUUAGACAUAUAGCCGAUUGCUUAAACCCUAUCGCUAUCGGUUGGUACAUCGGCUAUUAUCGGCUAUCGGCUGGGAUUGCUCCAUCGGCUGUUUAGCCGAUCAGUUGUUUGAUCUACUGUUUACAUAUCUUGUCAGUUGCAAGGUCAAACUGACUGGCACACCCGCAUCUCAUUAAGUUUUGGACCUGCACAGGAGCUAAGCAGAUCUCCUAGACCGGUGUGUUCGAUUUUUUCGUCAACACUUCCGUAGCUUCGCCGACGCGUUCCAGGACCUCUCCGACUCCACCAUCCGUACGUCGUUGAUUGUGAACACCUUCACGCCAUGGAUGCGCGUGUGCAUGCUCGGUGACGACAAGAAGCAUUACAACAUCGACGCCGGCGCCAUCAACAAGUUUGUCUUUCAUUUUGUCCUCCACCCACUCUGAUUCAGGACAAAAUGUUGUAACUGAAGUGUGCUAGAACUAAAACAAAAGGGACAAAAGGGAUUGUUGACGAGCAAGCACACGAACAAACGCUCAGCAUCUCACUCUGCAUCAAAUUAUGAGCAUAAAAUCCUGCAGCUUGUGAGAUCGUGAGAUCUAGAUUUUUGAAUUGGACAGUAGGUGGCUCUUGUCGGUGAAGCACGCUGAAUCCCACAUUCCCAGCAGGCAUAGAGUUCAGCUUUCACGUGGAGUAUCACCGGGCAGUCCUCGAGAGUGUGCUUGGAUGUCCUAUGCACAGGACACCAAGAUCUCGGUUUUAGGGUGGUCGUUCUUGUCGGCUCUGAUUUUUUGUUUAGAGGACAAAAUUCGGCCGCUUGAGGAUUCCUCCUGGGUAUUGGGGCCGUCGAUGUUCCAUUCUCCACUUGAGUGGGAGGAAUUAUCGGCGGUGCGUCGUUUCUCGGAGUCGUAACCGUGCCUUUCUCGUUCCCGAUAAUUAUUGGGCCAGUCGAGAUCGGCGUGAUGGUGUAGACCGGAAAGAAAAUGGAUCUGACUUGAGUCCACACCAGCGAUGUCGAGGUAGAGGCUCCUUGAUCGACGCCGGUGUUGAUACUGCUGUCAGGAAGUCUUGAAGUCAUACUGGUAGAUCCUUGAGCACCAAGUCCUCCUACCUGGCGUGCCACUGUCGACAAGCGAUACUUGUGGACCGGAUGAGUUGAGUAUUGGGGUAUGUUGGAACGAGGGUCUACGUAGUACGACAUCAAGCAAACAAAAGAUAAGGAUUAUACUAGUUCAGGCCCCCUUAUCAGGUAAUAGCCCUAGUCCAGGUUAUAUGGGAUUUAUGAUGAUGAGAAUAGGUUACAAAGAGAGUAGUCGAAUCAGAUGAUACCGGUGAGAUCGUAGUCGAGGGAUUUGACGAGAUCUCCCGACGAGUUGGCUCCACGUACUUCGGCUUCGUAAUAUAUGGUGGGUGUGUUGGCGAUUGAAUUGGAUGCCUUUCACCCCUCCCCAGGGGUCCCUUUUAUACCGUGGAGGGUGAGCGAGGGCCUGAGCGGCGAUAGAGGAUGUGCAGGAGAUUUCAAGUAGACGAUACAACAGGACCUCCGUCCCUCACCAUUGGCAACCCCACUGACCUCCAUCCUUCGCUCGCCACCGCCGCACCGACACUCCCCUCCCUCCAUGUCUCCUGCGGGCCCAACUGCCUCUCCCUGCCACUUUUUCCUCGCCUUCGUACUUGGCUCCGGCCUCACCGUUUCCUUCUCUCUUGUCCUCAAGCUGUCGUUGGGUGACUCCGCCGACAGCAGAGACAGCUCGGCGCCGACGAUGUUGACCCCGUCGUGGCCAUUCGAAGGUGACAAUGAGGAGCGUCAUCCCGGUGCGGGGUGACACGCGACGGUAAGGAGAGAGAAGGGAUGAGAGGAGGAAGAUGAGGACAUGUAUGACCCACAUGCCAAUGACCCCCACAAUAUUUUCUGUGAAUGACAGAUGGGUCCCACGUACUUUUUUGCCUUUUGUUUUAUUAUAAUGCCACAAAAGCGCCACGUCGAUGUCACGUGGGAUAGAGACCAAGUCAACAACGCCACGUAGGCGCCACGUGAGCCAAAAUCGCUUCCUAAACCACCCAGAGACAUAGUUUCCAUCGGUUUUGAUAGUUGGAGGGGUCGAUAUACCCGGUUUUGUGGUUGGAGGACAUGAUUUAUACUCAGGCGAUCGUUGAGGGAGUCAAAAUGAACUUUUUACGAUUGUUUAUACAUAUACAGCCCCUUUACAGAGACAGCCCAAAUAGCGGCCCAUUGUGACCCUUUUUGUCAAGGUUUGUGAAAAGCGGCCCAUUGAUCCUCAGUAAACAGAGCCCCUUUCGCGAGAGCUCCUCUGAAAUAUCGUCCGUCCAGACCUAGAAACCAUCUGUCCCUCAAUCCCGCGACGCCGCCGCCGUUCUGCUCCGGUGCUAGGGCUUGGGAGCUGAGCUCCACCCUGCCCCCUCCAUUCUCCAGCUCGCCUCAGGUCAGUACCCUGCAGAUCCGCUUGAUCUUAACCCUCUUUUCAUUGAUCAAAAGCUAAUUUAUUAUCCUAUUUCUCAUCGCCUUUGUUUGUUAUUCUUCUCUUGUUUGUUUGGCUUUUGUGAAGCCAUCCCUUCCUUCCGUCUUUAAAGGCAUCGCUGCCGGGCGGCUGUUAGCUGAAUCGAUCGCAAGGAAAGACAAAGGAGGAGAGUUCAGUCGACUUGGGAUCGAGUAGAAUCGCCGGCUUCUGCUGCUAUUGCGGUACUCUUCCUUCCUUGAAUGUCGUUUACUUCUCCAGGUGCAUAGCAUAGCUUUUUUUUUUUUUUUUGGGGGGGGACGGAGACCGACGAGAUUAAUUGUUGUUUCUGUUUUGAAGCUGACCAUUAUAUCCAAUCCCAAUCCAAUCGACGAUGGGCCUCUCUCGUCGGUUUCUGAACCUGAUCGUGGACAACCGCAUCCCUGGAGCCAAAUCGCUGCGCUGCAUCGACCUCACCCUCGCGCGCUACAAGUUGUUCAACACUACAACACCUGCUGCACUGAUACUGAAUGGGAAAAUAUCUGAAUCAGAACGCCCACAAGACUCCACCCCAUGGGCGGGUGCCGACAAUAACGAGAAGGAAGCGGCAGC